GGUAAAUAAUAGUAUCUUUUAUUGUACAGCAAUUAUAAGGUAAUAGUUUAUGAGGUCUUCUUAUAUAAUUUGUUAUGAAUGUAUAGCAUCAAACCUAGACUAGUGAUUUGGAUAAAUACAUUGCUAAAAUCCUAAUGGGAUAAGCAAGGUGUUCUUAGUACCAGUCAGUAUAUUCUUUUUUUCUCAUAAGAGGAUUUUGGGUGUGCAUCACCAUUUGUUUGAUCCAGAUAUUUUCGUUUCCUUUUGUUGAAGUGAGAAACACUACUUCCUGGAGCCAUUGUUUUCUCAAUGUUUUAGUUUGGUCUAAAAGAUCAGGAACAGAAAAUGAAAUUUUCUUUAUUAUUUUCUGUGCUCCAAACCCAUGGUUUUCUUUAUACAAAUCUUGGCAAUAGGUCCCAAGCACAAGAACAGGCUGGGCAGAGAAUGGAUUGAGACUAAUCCUGUUGAAACACACUUGGAGGUGUUUGUGGAUGACAAGCUCAAUAUGGCUCAGCAAUGUGUGCUCAUGGCCCAGAAAGCCAAAAAUGUCCUGGGCUGCAUCCAAAGCAGUGUGGCCAGCAGGAACAGGGAGGGGAUUCUGCCCCUCUGCUCUGCUGAGACCCCACCUGCAGUGCUGCAUCCAGCCCCGGGGUCCCAGCAUAGGAAGGACAUGGAACUGUUGGAGCAAGUCCAGAGGAGGCCAUGAAGAUGAUCAAAAGGGCUGGAACACCUCUCCUAGGAAGACAGGCUGGGAAACUUGAAGCUGUUCAGCCUUGAGAAGAGAUGGCUCUGUUACUUUAACUGAACAAGAUUAAAAGCCAGCCAAAGGAAAUAACAACAGGGACAGUCAAGUCAGCAUGUCAAGGGAGUCUUGUUUACAAACUAUAGCCAAUAUCAAUUUAUUUCUGGCUUCAAUUCCUGACCUCCACUUUAAAAGCAAUUAUUCAAAAAUGACAAAUCUUAUGAAGACUGAGGACUGGCAUGUUAUGGAUCUUCACCAGACGUGUCUAUGAGAAGACAGAGGCUGUUUGCAUUUGGUAUAUGCAAUGGAUGCAUGGGAUACGACAUGACAAGGAAGAGGCUAAAGAGUCAU